CAAUAGCGUAUAUUAAAGUUGUUGCGGUUAAAAGCUCGUAGUUGGAUUUCUGCCGAGGACGACCGGUCCGCCCUGUGGGUGAGCAUCUGGAUCGGCCUGGGCAUCUUCUUGGGGAACGUAGCUGCACUUGACUGUGUGGUGCGGUAUCCAGGACUUUUACCUUGAGGAAAUUAGAGUGUUUCAAGCAGGCGCACGCCUUGAAUACAUUAGCAUGGAAUAAUGAUAUAGGAUCCAGGUCCUAUUUUGUUGGUUUCUAGGACCAGGAUAAUGGUUAAUAGGGAUAAUUGGGGGCACUCGUAUCAUGACGUCAGAGGUGGAAUUCUUGGAUUGUCAUGCGACGAACUACUGCGAAAGCAUUUGCCAAGGAUGUUUUCAUUGAUCAAGAACGAAAGUAAGGGGAUCGAAGAUGAUCAGAUACCAU
rnacentral:rRNA from 1 species